UGGGGAAUAUUGGGCAAUGGGCGAAAGCCUGACCCAGCAACGCCGCGUGAAGGAAGAAGGUCUUGGAUUGUAAACUUUUGUCCUAUGGGAAGAAGGAAGUGACGGUACCAUGGGAGGAAGCCCCGGCUAACUACGUGCCAGCAGCCGCGGUAAUACGUAGGGGGCGAGCGUUGUCCGGAAUUACUGGGCGUAAAGGGCGCGCAGGCGGCCGAUCAAGUUAGAUGUGAAAUACCUGGGCUUAACCUGGGAACUGCAUUUAAAACUGGUUGGCUAGGAGUGCAGGAGAGGGAAGCGGAAUUCCUAGUGUAGCGGUGAAAUGCGUAGAUAUUAGGAGGAACACCAGUGGCGAAGGCGGCUUUCUGGACUGUAACUGACGCUGAGGCGCGAAAAGCGUGGGGAGCGAACAGGAUUAGAUACC
rnacentral:rRNA from 1 species